GAUGAACGCUGGCGGCGUGCAUAAUACAUGCAAGUAGAACGAUGAAGCUCGGUGCUUGCACCGAGCGGAUGAGUUGCGAACGGGUGAGUAACGCGUAGGUAACCUGCCUCUUCGCGGGGGAUAACUAUUGGAAACGAUAGCUAAUACCGCAUAAAAGACGAUAUCGCAUGAUAUUGAUUUGAAAGGUGCAAUUGCAUCACUAAGAGAUGGACCUGCGUUGUAUUAGCUAGUUGGUGAGGUAACGGCUCACCAAGGCAACGAUACAUAGCCGACCUGAGAGGGUGAUCGGCCACACUGGGACUGAGACACGGCCCAGACUCCUACGGGAGGCAGCAGUAGGGAAUCUUCGGCAAUGGGGGCAACCCUGACCGAGCAACGCCGCGUGAGUGAAGAAGGUUUUCGGAUCGUAAAGCUCUGUUGUAAGAGAAGAACGAGUGUGAGAGUGGAAAGUUCACACUGUGACGGUAACUUACCAGAAAGGGACGGCUAACUACGUGCCAGCAGCCGCGGUAAUACGUAGGUCCCGAGCGUUAUCCGGAUUUAUUGGGCGUAAAGCGAGCGCAGGCGGUUAGAUAAGUCUGAAGUUAAAGGCUGUGGCUUAACCAUAGUACGCUUUGGAAACUGUUUAACUUGAGUGCAGAAGGGGAGAGUGGAAUUCCAUGUGUAGCGGUGAAAUGCGUAGAUAUAUGGAGGAACACCGGUGGCGAAAGCGGCUCUCUGGUCUGUAACUGACGCUGAGGCUCGAAAGCGUGGGGAGCAAACAGG
rnacentral:rRNA from 1 species